ACCCGGUCCCAUUUCGAACCCGGAAGUUAAGCCGGCCGCGUUGGGGGUAGCUGUGGAGUCCGCGAGGCUCCGCAGCUCCCCCAAGCCGGGAUCG
rnacentral:rRNA from 1 species